rnacentral:misc_RNA from 1 species
AAAAAGAAGGAAAUUUUCGAUGAAGAUGACUUAGACAAACUAGAAGAUAGACCUCCUGUAAUAACUAUAAUGGGUCAUGUUGAUCAUGGAAAGACUACUCUCUUGGACCAUAUACGCAAGACCAAGGUGGCGGCAUCUGAAGCUGGUGGAAUUACUCAAGGUAUUGGGGCAUAUAAGGUGCAAGUGCCUAUUGACACCAAGUCCCAAAUAUGUGUUUUUCUUGAUACACCUGGACACGAGGCUUUUGGGGCAA